UACGUAUGGUGCAAGCGUUUUCCGGAAUGACUGGGUGUAAAGGGAGCGUAGACGGUUGUACAAGUCUGAUGUGAAAGCCCACGGCUCAACUGUGGGAGUGCAUUGGAAACUGUAGAACUAGAGUAUCGGAGAGGCAAGUGGAAUUCCUAGUGUAGCGGUGAAAUGCGUAGAUAUUAGGAGGAACACCAGUGGCGAAGGCGGCUUGCUGGACGAAAACUGACGUUGAGGCUCGAAAGCGUGGGGAGCAAACAGG
rnacentral:rRNA from 1 species